UGACACAUUGUAGCCUACAGGAGAGCAGAACUCACUGCAAGCAAAAAGGGGAAGAAACGCUCACAAAAGGGAAGGCAGCAGGAAAAGUAAUCGGGUUGCUCCGCCUGCAUUCUGCCCCUGUGGAGGAGACCUCUGGUUCUGCAACUGCCUGGGAGAGUCUAAGUCGGUGAUGGAGAGUUAACUGGCCUGGUGGACACAUACCUACCAUGUCCUGCAAUCUAGCUUAAAGCUUACACUUUAAGAAACAGAAUAACAAGAAUAGAUUCUAGAGCUGAGUUUAAACCCUGGCUCCACCACUGAUAAGCUGUGUGACCUUGGGCAAGUUGUUAGCUGGCACCCAGACACAUUGAGAAGAUGGUCAUCUGAAAGCCAGGAAAAGAGACUGCUCCAGAACCUGACCAUGCUGGCACCCUAAUCUCAGAUUUCCACCCUCCAGAACUGUGAGAAAAUACAUGUCUGAUUUUUAAGCCCCCAAGUAUAUGGUAUUUCUUUAUGGCACCCUAAGCUAACACAUUCAGGUUAGGAAGCCUAAAUAAUGGUUGUUUGAAAAAAAUAAUAAUAACAAUGUGCAA
rnacentral:lncRNA from 1 species